UUAAGCUGCAGCAAUGACGGCAGGCCGUGGGAGCAUCGUGUCACCCACGUCAAAGGGGAGAAAAGAUGCCACUUUCUGUUUGGCAGCUUUGUUCCCAAGCUCUUCAGCCAUUUCAAUCUGACCCUGAGUCUGACAGUGAAGCAGCUGUGUUAGACCCUGAACUUGGUCCUACUGUGGAGGACGAAGUGAUAUGCAACCCCCUGACAGAACCGGGCAGAGACCAGAGGAACCUGCUGAAUUCGGCUGAUGGCCCUCAAUACGGGUCUAUAGAAAGAAUGGAAGAAAGGAGAACUUUCAAAAAAGAAUUUCCACCUUCCGCCCCCAUUCACCCCCUUGGAGGCAGGGGAGAGAACGAGACUCAGCACUUCAUAUACUACAUGGUCCCGUCCUUGGCCAAUUAUGGAAGCUGUUGGCUGCUUUAUAUCCAUUACAAGCCUGGGCCAGCCCCUAUAUCUGGGGAGUGAAAAUCAGUAAGGAAUGGACUUCUACUCUCAAUUCAACUCAUUACACUCUGGAGACAACUCCGAAGAAAGCAAAAAUCUGGAAACCAACGUUUUAGCAGUGAUGGCGAUUCAACUUCAUCAACUCGAUUCAACUUCAUCAACUCGCUGCUAAGAAAAAAGGGGGAGAUGUUGAGGGUUAGGGUCGAGACAUGAGAACCCCAGGAGUGGGACAGGACUUUGCCAAAGAGCAACCUGUGGACGUAUUAGUUCGCCGAGCAAAAGCUGCUCAACCUUGAGGGGGACAUUCCACUGAUCGGAGAUGUCUGCAAAUGGACCCCGCCCUGAAGCCUGAGUGCUUACAGCCUGGAUGUCUGCUAACAGACUGGGCUGGGCUUGUAAUCCAAAGGCUGAGAGAAUGAUCAAGGAUGUCAGCCCAGCAGAUAAGAGCCGUUUGCUAUUUUAAGCCUGAGGCAAUGUUCCUAUCUCUCUCCUGACUUCCUGUCUCAGUAAAUGAGGAACUAGAUAAAGUAGAAAAGUACUUGGUCUCUUUAUUCCCGUUUAGAUUAUAUGCUUUACUGCUGACUCACGAUUUUAUUUUUAACUUGUGUAUGCUUAGCUAGUUUAUUGUUACUUUGGGAGACCUUGAAACUUAAACUUAUGAUAUGUACAUGUAAAUUGGUGACUGAUAAUUGUUUGCUGAAAGAAUAAAUACUGAUGUGAGACUCCGCUUGUGGGCUCCUGGCUCACGGGAAUGCUGG